UACGAAGGGUGCAAGCGUUACUCGGAAUUACUGGGCGUAAAGCGUGCGUAGGUGGUGAGUUAAGUCUGUCGUGAAAGCCCCGGGCUCAACCUGGGAAUGGCGAUGGAUACUGGCUCGCUAGAGUGCGGUAGAGGAGAGUGGAAUUCCCGGUGGAGCGGUGAAAUGCGUAGAUAUCGGAAGGAACGCCGGUGGCGAAAGCGGCGGACUGGACCUCUUCUGACGCUGAGGCGCGAAAGCCAGGGGAGCAAACGGG
rnacentral:rRNA from 1 species